AAAAAGGGCGUCUGCUGUGACCAGCACAUGUAGGGCAGCUCAUUUGCUCUACCUGAGGACUCUACAUCAAGAGAUUUCAGGAUCAAAAUUUUUUGGCACUAGGGUGAUCAUUGGUCAAGGUAUCCUC
ensembl:snRNA